rnacentral:lncRNA from 10 species
CUUCCACAUCCUUUUUCCCUUUUCCCAUAGGCUGAUGGAUAAAUGUGGCAGUGGGGUAAGCUGGUUUAGACCAUGACAAGAACAACACUCAAGGCAUCCUAGAAAUUGGGAUGUGUCCGGGAGCAUCUGGAGUGACCACCCAGGCUGACUCAUUGCUUGCCCAGCUGUUAAGAGUUCACUGUUUCUUCCUAUAGUGCCUUCUCUUAUCAUGACUCAGCAAUUCUUCCCCAUCUCUGCUCCCAGCAUAGUGGCUUAGUUGGAGUC